UCCAAUCGAACUCGGAGAUAGCUGGUUCUCCUCGAAAUAGCUUUAGGGCUAGCCUUGAGGUAAAGUCUAAUGGAGGUAAAGCACUGAUUGGACGCGGGUCCCCAAAAGGAUACCAACUUCUAUCAAACUCAGAAUGCCAUAUAGAUAUACUCAGGAGUCAGACUAUGUGAGAUAAGUUUCAUAGUCAAAAGGGAAAGAGCCCAGACCGACAGCUAAGGUCCCAAAGUGUGUGUUAAGUGGAAAAGGAUGUUAGGUUUCUAAGACAACUAGGAUGUUGGCUCAGAAGCAGCCACUCAUUUAAAGAGUGCGUAACAGCUCACUAGUCGAGAGGUCUAGCGCCGAAAAUGUCCGGGGCUAAAACACACCACCGAAGCUACGGAAUUACCUAUGGUAAUUGGUAGAGGAGCAUUCUGUAAGGAUGAAGCACAAUUGAAAGAGAGUGUGGACGAAACAGAAGAGAGAAUGCCGGAAUGAGUAGCGAGAUAUAUGUGAGAAUCAUAUAGGUCGAAUGUCUAAGGUUUCCUGGGUAAAGCUGAUCUGCUCAGGGUAAGUCGGGACCUAAGGUGAGGGCGAGAGCCGUAAUCGAUGGACAACAGGUAGAAAUUCCUGUACUACGUAUAAUCAGAACUGUGGGGACGCAGGAGGAUAGGAAAACCGGAGAAUGGAAAAAUCCGGCUAAGUACAAAGGUGUGAGUGAUAGGCAAAUCCGUCACUAUUAGCUGAAGUACGAAUGGGAGCGAAGAAAAGUAGCGAAGUUUCUGAAUCCACACUGUCAAGAAAAGCCGCUAUUGCGUUAUACGUACCCGUACCGCAAACCGACACAGGUAGACGAGGAGAAAAUCCACAGACCGACGGGAGAAGUGUUGUUAAGGAACUCGGCAAAAUGACCCCGUAACUUAGGGAUAAGGGGAGCCAACGCAAGUUGGUCACAGAAAAGAGGCUCAAGCGACUGUUUAGCAAAAACAUAGGUCUAUGCGAAACCGUAAGGUGAUGUAUAUGGGCUGACACCUGCCCGGUGCUGGAAGGUCAAAAGGAGAGGUUAGCGUAAGCGAAGCUUUGAAUUCAAGCCCCAGUAAACGGCGGCCGUAACUAUAACGGUCCUAAGGUAGCGAAAUUCCUUGUCAGGUAAGUUCUGACCCGCACGAAAGGUGUAACGAUUUGAGCACUGUCUCGACAACACGCCCGGUGAAAUUGAAGAACCAGUGAAGAUACUGGUUACCCGCAACAGGACGGAAAGACCCCAUGGAGCUUUACUGCAGCUUAAUAUUGGGAUUCGGUAUUGUAUGUACAGGAUAGGAGGGAGACUAAGAAGCUAGCACGCCAGUGUUGGUGGAGUCGAUGGUGGGAUACCUCUCUUAUAAUACUGAAUUUCUAACCUACUUCCGUAAUCCGGAAGAGGGACAUUGUUAGGCGGGCAGUUUGACUGGGGCGGUCGCCUCCGAAAGAGUAACGGAGGCGCUCAAAGGUCUUCUCAGAAUGAUUGGAAACCAUUCAAAGAGUGUAAAGGCAAAAGAAGGCUUGACUGCGAGAGUGACAACUCGAGCAGGUACGAAAGUAGGACUUAGUGAUCCGGUGGUAACAAGUGGGAGUGCCAUCGCUUAACGGAUAAAAGCUACCCUGGGGAUAACAGGCUUAUCUCCCCCAAGAGUUCACAUCGACGGGGAGGUUUGGCACCUCGAUGUCGGCUCAUCGCAUCCUGGGGCUGUAGUAGGUCCCAAGGGUUGGGCUGUUCGCCCAUUAAAGCGGUACGCGAGCUGGGUUCAGAACGUCGUGAGACAGUUCGGUCCCUAUCCGUUGUGGGCGUAGGAAAUUUGAUAGGAGCUGUCCUUAGUACGAGAGGACCGGGAUGGACGAACCUCUGGUGAAUCUGUUGGUAACCAAUGCCACAGCAGAAUAGCCAAGUUUGGAACGGAUAAACGCUGAAGGCAUCUAAGCGUGAAGCCAACCUAAAGACUAGAUUUCCCAUGCGAAAGCAGUAAGACUCCUUGUAGACGACAAGGUUGAUAGGCCAGAGAUGUAAGCACAGUAAUGUGUUCAGUUGACUGGUACUAAUAAGUCGAGGGCUUGACCAA
rnacentral:rRNA from 1 species